UUUCUCUCUCAGGUGGAGGCGACAAAAAGCCACGGAGACGAAUCCGGCUGCCAGUGGAGCUUUGUAUCAGCGACUGUGCUUUUGAUGACUGCUGUCCCGUCACAGCGUGACUCCGAAUGAGAGGGAUUGAAUCUCUCGCGCUGAUGCCAAGCUGCUCGGCAGAGCUGUGACUAUGUAAACACACUCUCACUUUCUUUCCACUUUAGUGUAUUUGGAGUUAUUCACACGAGGGACAAAUACUCUGGAACACCUGCGAUGGUCAGAAUGUUU
ensembl:lncRNA